CCAGCCGCAGGCAUGACAUCUGGUCUGCUUCCCAGAUUCCACCACAGCUGGAACUGGCCUGCUUCCUACAUUUCACCCCCAAUGCUGAAAUUGCUCCAGGUUUGUCCAGAUGGCAGACAGGGGAAACACUUUCAGGGUGCUCUCCUGGUUCACCACAUCUUGUCUGGAGUCUCAAACUCUAAGACUUAGCUCUGCCCUCAGCACCCCAGGUACGCCUGCUGCAUGGAGGACACAGUUGCCCUUGGUUUCCUUCAAUCAUGAAAGAAGCUACUGUGCACUCUGCACCAACCUGUGCCAGGCACCCACCACGUACACUUUCUCAUUUAGUCUCUGCAACAGCCCUGCAAUGUAUCAUGUCCAUGGUCCAGAGCUGAGAUACUGGCUGGGUGGAUUUCAGCAAAUUUCCAAGGGCACAUGACAUGUGGGCACAAAAGCCGGGAUUUCACACCAGGGGAUAAAGUAUAUCAGAAAUGAAGGCUGGGGGCAGAAUAAUAGACAAUAUCUCCCCGGAUACUUUUUAUCAGCAAGACAGGAAUGUUCCCCAAAUGACACUGCUUAAGAGAACUUUGAGGAGAACUGAGGGCAAGAUACAAGCCAUGGUUCUAUACAGAUAAGUCUACGGAAGCUGCAGAAAUAACAUUCCAGAUCCCCAGGAAUCCACCCACCCACCCCUCCGACUUUGGCCGAACACCAUGGCUGGCUGCCGUGUGAAGAAUGGACUGUAGGGGGUGCCAGAGUGGCUGUGGGAAACAUCCCCUAGAAAUCUAGAAUUCAAAGCACUUACUUUGAGUGAUAUAUCCACAAGAAAGAGCCUUCUGUGCU
rnacentral:lncRNA from 1 species